UCACGUGAGGGUGGCCACGUGAGCGCGCGCCUGAGGGCGGCAGCCAGGGCGGGGCCGCGAAGUUACCUCAGCGCUCCGCCAGCCGGGUUCGGGCUCUCGGUGUAGCACCUCACUAAAAUCCCUUGGCACUCGCCUCCCUGCCUUCAUCAUAUGAGGGGCUUUAGCCGUCAAUAAACGUCUAGCUUGUUUUCGCCCAUCGUAAUCGAUGCAGAAUGAGGGAGUCUUUCCCCCCACAUGAAUAAACAAGCAAUUGGGGCUGUGGCUGUAGACUCAGCGAAUGACAUCGUCCCCACAGUGGGCAUCUCGGGCCCCACAUCACGCCUGACAAUCAGCUGCAGCUGAUACAGAGAAACAUGGUGAGGACAGAGGGAUCCCAGUGUGUUACCGUGAGGAUGUUGGGCUGAUUCCAUUCUGCUUCAAGAAAGGGCUUGUAGCUAUCCCUCCUGUGCAUGAGCACCCGUGUACUCCCCAUCCUAAUCCUUGCUGAGGAGCUCCAUUUCGGAAGGAAUCCAACACCAACCCCACCUCCUUCCUGCCACCUCUUUGCAGUUCUGGGCGUCAAUCUGCAUACGCUGAUCGUAUCUGGCUGUGCUGCCACCUCCCGAGAGAAAGCAGCAUCCCGGCUUCUGCUCAGAGGAAAGGAAACGUUCCACAGCCAGGCUCCCAGCCUGCACGGAGGGCCCCGGGGAAGCCAGGACUCUCCACACCGCCUGCAGCCGGCGGAGGCAAGACGUGGGCCCGAGAGUCGCCACACCUCCAGGUCAGCUGCAGUCUGAGCACCUCAGUUACUAACAAGGUUGAAGAAGCAGGAGGGUGAGACUGCCCAUAGCAACUGAGAAAAAAAAGGCAUACACAGGGAAGAGUGAUGGCUUGGAAGAGAGGAAGAAUCUUUAACCUGAGCUGGGAUCCCAAUGAGAUGUGAGAGGCAGGCUAGGAUUGUAAUUGGAAGAGAGGACAAGCCUUUCAGAGGGUAACUAACAGGAAAGCAGUAGCAAAGGAGUGAUGAUUGUUAACCUGAAUAACCCAGAAGAACUGCAUGAUGUGACAAGAGGCUAUGGGAUAGUCCAAGUGCAGGAGAUGCACCAUUUGAGUAUCAGGUCACAGUCUGGAUCAAUUUCAUUGCUCAAACAAGAGUUUUCAAAGUGCCUUUUAUCCAUUUAAGGAGGAUACAAAAAAGAAAAAAGGAUAAUGUUAUGAUAACUCAAUAGAAGUAGUUAUAUUCAUUUACUACUGCAUGUAAGCAACACUGGAAGAUCUGCCAGGCUAAUUAGCAGUAGCCAGAAAAAACCACAAGAGUAACCAAGGUAGUAACACAAGCUUGCCUGCAUGUAAAUCAAUAAACUCCUACUGAUUUGGGAAAUCCAUGAACCUUCAGAAACAUGAGGGGAGGCAGUUCCAGACUGCUGCGUGGGAGACACUAAAACACUGUUUACAGAUAUUCUUAUCUACAGUUUUUCCCUCACAGUCUUGAAUGUGGGAGAGAGUCAUACAGAGGGAAUAAGCACUAAAAUCAGACCAAAAAAAAAUUCAGAAAAGAGAGGUCUGGAAGCUACCUCCACUGAGUCAAAGAUUUUGAUGAUUUUUGAAAAGGUGACAACCACUGAGCUGUAGCUUUGCAUUUGACUUACAUAUUAAUUCUUUAUUCUUUUCCCAAGAAAUAUAGUAUGCCAAAAUUCCUCCAAAGAUCUCUUGAUGGAAUCAAGUUCCUAACUGCAGGUUCUGCUCAAUAAGACACAAUUCAUUAGCCUUUGCCAUCCUUCUUUGUCACAAUAGGAAAGAUGCUGCUGUUGGUUAAAGCAUCUUGUUGUAGUCCCUGGUAGUCAUAGCAAAGGUACCAUUUGACAAUUGAAAACUGUAAAGAUCCAAGUUUUUCUGUCACUUUUUUGGUGGGUUUUGUUAUUACUCUUGGUUUUAUUUGGUUUUAGGCAGGGGGAUGUUGAAGGGAGUUCAGAUGUGAUUUCAGGGAAAAAAAAUUGAGCUGAUUUUAUACCAUUUCUUCUUAGAAAGACACAAAGGAAUGGGAAAAAAAUAGCUGGCCUAACGACAUGGCAAUUUCUUGUACAAAAACUAUAUGGAUAUUACAAAAAAGCCAAGAGUGAGGGAGCCAUCAAUCCUCUGCCUCCCAUACCAGCAGGAACAAAAAGUUGUGGUACCUAACUCAGACAGUCUUCAGAAGGCAGGAUUUAAAGUAUUUCUGGCAUUUAACCACUUUCUGUUAUGAAUGCCUAGAUAAAGACAAUAUACUGAGGUUAGCCUUGCUUUGGACUUCACUGUAAAGUUCAUUACAGCAUCUAGGUCAGCAAAUCCCACAGGAGAUGGUCUCUCUGCCAGUUCUAUACUGAACAUACCUUGAAUGUAUCUUGCUGUGUUAAACACCAUUUCCUUUAAUUUCCAAACUCAGCACAACUGGAUCUCCAGAACAUCAGUGGAAAGAAGGACAAUUUGUGACAGCGAGCUUUCAUUGAUCAGAACAGAGAAGCUCCCCAAUUCUGACCGCUGCAGGAAAUGCAGAAAAUAGGAGCAAGCAGAGAAGCAAGUGUGAGUGCAGAGCCUACUGCUUUGGUAAUUUUUACUUUUGGUAAUUUUUGCUUUUGGUAAUUUACCACUGCAAAGUGACAUUGUCCCUUCUUCUCUCCCCUCCAGUCAUGGUGGGGUUUUUGUGGUUUUUUUCUUUCUCCUUCUGCUCACCACAUUCAUAAUUUUAUUACUCAACUCAGUUUAAGGAUUCACUGACCUGUGCUAGGAGAAACAGGAAAGACCCAUAAUCUAGCACUAGGAACACACUCCCACUCACCUGCAGUCAACAAGACUUUAAAAAAUAAAAGAAUAGAACAAGAUGCAACAGCUUUGGGGAGGUUUCAGCAAUACACAUAGAAAGUUCUAUGAGUUUACUCCACUUGGUACCAAGGAUUUAAUUCCUUUACCUCAACAUAUAGAAAUACUCAUGAGUUUCCAUGGAAGAGCCUUAUGUUCGAGUUCAUUCACAUCCCACAACCUUUUGCGAGUCUGCAACCAUUCAAGAUAAUCACUUGCACAGGUUUGAAUAGGAAUAUUUUAAGUAAUUUUGAGGAACCAGGAAAGCUGGAAAGAGGCCAGAAAUCUACCACUACCAUACACAUCCAAACCAUCAGCCAUCACCACCAGACCCUUUUGAAUCCCUGGAGGAGAAAAAACAAGGCCCAAUCUCUUACGUCCCUUUGUUCAUAGGAGAACCUACCUUUUAGAUAUUUAGAUAUUUGGAAUUUAGAUAAUUCUCUCCUGCUGGGGUUUGGACUGGCAAAGAGAGCUCCCAAAUGUCCAUCAAACAGCAAUCUUCAGUUAGAUAGGGGUGCGAAACUGAGGAAGAGCCCUUAAAACUCUUCUUUCAUACAGCAAAACCGUCAAAAUAAUUAAAACAUUUUGGAGAGUAUAAGGAAAACUGUUCACUUACUUUCCUCAGUUCUAGGACAGGGGAAAAUGGAGCAGAUGACAAUUUAUCUGGAUAAGAAUGCGUAGGAGAGGUUGAGAUAGCCUCCAGAAGUUCAGGAGUGCAACUUGCAUUCCCAUGUUAUUGGAUUAAUAAUUAAAGUAGUUGCUUAUACUAAACCAGUUUUCCCUCAAUUUACUGGGCUAUUUCCUUCUAUUUAUUUCUUUCACCCCUGUUUUCUCUCACAGCCUGUUUUAUUGUAUGAUUUUAUGAUUGUCAGUGAUUUUAAACUCAGUCAUUAAAACCCAGGUUUACAGGUUUGCUGAAAUGUAGAAAUUAUCAGGUAAUCUUUCCCUUCUACAAAUACCCAUUUUAUUCCAUCUUAUUUGCAUUACCAAUCAAUAUGGAGUGAAGUUCAUUUUGCAUCUCCCAUUUCUUUGCUCUGAGAACAAAAUCUUUGAAAUCUCCCUGUAGACUUAAGGGCUGUUAAGAUCAAGGGGCUUCUCUGCAGUCCUGCAAAGGUCUUCAGUGAUGUUUUAGGAGAGAGGAGUAAUCUACACCACGAAAACACCAAGCUCCUGCAAAGGUAAACUGAAGGUUGAAAACCUUGGAUAUCCUAAUCCCUAGCAAACAUGAACUAGAGGGGAUUUCCUUUAAACUCACUUUGGAUCUUUUAAACCCAUGAGAUAUGGGGGAGGCUUCCUCCUGCCAGAAUCUGGCACUUCUGCCUUGUUCGUUACAGUUACAGCUGCCAAGAGAAAAGAGUAAAAAACAACCAUCAUUUGACAGUGAACAGGUUUACAAACACAGCUUUUGGCUGAACCUUGGAUGUUUGUUUGGAAGCUUUUUACUGUGCUUUAUAGUCAUUCCUCCUUUCCUGACAGGGAUGAACAGCUUUCACUCCAUUAACUGUAUCUCCCUUGGGUUCUCUGUUCAAGUUAGAAAGAAAGUUCUUGAAGAACUUGGAGGGCACAUUUGGGACUCGUGUACAACACAACAGUGGUUUGUUUGCAGCGGCUUAAUUUAAAUUGGAUUUCACAUCAAUUCCUUGAACAGCUGAGGAACCCUGUGUGGACACACUUAUUUGCCUUAAGAGUUGUCUAAAAUCAGUUCCUAAUCAAUUUAAACUCCACUGAUCAGAUUUAAAUGUAUACUUAAAAGGUCAACACAACCUUUUGAAUUGAUUUAGUGAAAUGAUAUUGAAAGCAAUGCUUGAGUAAACUGGUGCAACUCUCUGUAAAAGCUGUCUGAAUUAGCGUAAUAUGGAUUGUCAAAAAAUGGAGAAACAUCUCUCCCCCUUGAAGUUUGCAAAUUCAAUCUCUUGAUUGAAUGCUAGCAAGAUAGAGGCUGAUGGAUCUCUCCCCUGAUGGAGCCUCAUAUUGAUUUUAUCAUUAGAUAUACAAAACAAAUGCCUAAUUCAGUAAUAGGCACGUUUUAUGCCUUCCUUUAACAGUGUUGAUCUAAACACUACAUAUAUACACUUUAGCUCAAAAUCACAUAUAUUCCUUCUUCAAUAGGAAAUUUCAAAAUUCAGGAAUGUUUUUGAAAUCAUGAUCUUUAAAAGAUUAGAAUCUAGGAAGAUAGGACCUAUGAAAAAAUUUAGAGAAAUAACAGCAUGAAAGAAUCACUUAUGUCAGGAGCCUAUUUCACUCUUUAACAGGUGCAGAUAUCCAUCAUAAAUUAAGCCUCAUUUGUGCUGAGUGGUUGAAUUGCUGAGGAAUCAGUUUAUUGGUAUGUGAAAUAUUUACUAUGUAUAGCUGGACAGAUACCCAGGAAUUCUGAUGAAGCCCAUUAAUGCAUAAGAGAGAACAUCCUUUCCUUGUAAGACUUGAGAAAUCAUAAGCUUUGCUCCUCUCAGUAUCUUAUACAGACCUUUUAAAAACUAUCCGACUUGUCCAUAGAAAUGUAUCUAGAAUAACUAUUAAGAAGGUCUUUUUUGGUAGAAAAUGUUCUCUCUCUUCAGGAGAGCUGCUGUUAUAGACGUUAAUAUCCAAAAUAAAACCCGCUUUUAUUUAAAUUACAUUUUUUUGCCCCCUGUGUAGAAAUUGCCUUUUUCUUAUAGAAAGGUGAGAAACCACAUGUUACUUUGAACAAUUUCAGAUGCCCAAAAGAGAAGAGUGAUACUGGGAUCACUUCAAAAAAUGCAUUAACUUAGAAGUCAAUAACUAACAUUUGGCUGGGAAUUAUUUGCAUGUGUUCUUUGAAUAAGGAGCGCCAUUUACUGUGGAUUUCUAUAUCUGUGGAACAACGAAAAUAAUGGUACAAAGGUAGAAGACACUUCUAUUUGCUAUCUAAAAGUUUUGGGUUCCCACCUGUAAUAUGAGAUCUGGGUUUGCUAUCUAGAAUAAUUGAUCUUCACGACAAAUACAAGCAAGUUAAGCUCUUAGAGUGUUACAAUAUGCAAGGAAAAAAAGACAUCAACAGCAGGUUUACACAGACAAGAAAUGUUUCAAACAAGUGUAGGCCACGUUCAUUGCAGCUGGGGAGCCACAUAAAAAACCCAACCAAAAUUAAGACAGCAGUAAGAGCCGGUAUGAACUGUGCUAUAUUAAAAAGCUAAUACUGAGAGCCAUGAAAGCUCAAGAGUUUACACGAGCAACCUAUAAAAUGCUAAUGUAACUAACACCAGGGAACUCUGCAGAAACCAUCCCUCUGCAAAUUCAAAAGUCUAUUAAAAAAAAAUCAAAUUAUUUCCAGGACAAGAAAUAAUACAUGUAUACAAAUUUGCAAAGUUAAAUUUUUUAGUCUCUUCAUAAUGUACAGGCAUAUGCCACCAAGAUAUACAUAUAAUUUUCAAGAAUAUGUUUCUCUGAGAUGGAAGUGAGUCCUCUGUCCCACCUGAUAAAAACUGCCUCUAAGUUCAGGGAGUCUGAACAUGAGUAGUACAAAUGUCAUUCCAUCCUCUAAACCUUGUGGCUAUGCAGUGGUCUGCUCACACAUCUGAAGGACUACUAUAGAAUGGCUGUGAACAAUAUGAUUUUUUAACAGAUUGUUGUCGCAGUAUUUUGCAUGCUUUGUUCAUAUUACAUGGAAAAGAGUAGGUGUGCAAGGCAGAGUAUGUAUCUGUGUGCUGGCUUUGAAUUUACAUUGAGGACAUUUCAACUUCUGAAUGGUCAGAGAAAGAGUGUAUACAAAAAGGCAACAAUUUUUUUUUCUUUUUUUUUAAUUUACCAUGAGGCACAGAAAACAGAUGGAAAGCCGUCAAGGGUCAAAUCUUCCCUUUUUUCCCAAGAAGAUACAAACUGGCCAUGUAACAAAGGGAUGAAGUGUUUCUCCAUGAACACCGCACGCAUUAGGCUAAACCCAUCGCACUAGUUAAUUUUAACUAAAAUUGCAGAAUAAAUGAAGAAAGCAUACUUUUAUUGUAACCUUGAGCAUUUUAAUUAAAAAAGGAAUUGUGGCUUCUGCCAUGAGCACUAGCACAUUCAUAGAGACGUGCAAGAAAGACCUUGCAUUCUCACAAAACAGACAUUUCCUUCUGCCUCACAGGCAAAAGCUCAUAGGGAGCCUAUUGCCCCAUUACACCCAACCACCACAGCCACAGCCACUCUCACAUGGAGAGUGAUCCUUCCAGUAAAGGGGCAGCUGGGAGAAAUUUUUUCUGUUAUUUGAAUGCAUCAUUAAUACUUAAUGUUUCAAAUACUUGUUAGAGUAUGACAGAGAACAUCAGUCACUUCCAUCAAGACUGGAAUUCAUGGGAGCAAAAGUCCUUUACUACAACUAAAACAUUGCUGGGAUAACACUGGGAACACUUGUUCCUAUUUCCACAGGCUCAGCAAUACUUCAGCUGGCCUUUUUAUGAAGACCAGCUGAGGGUAUGAUACGUAAUAGCAGCCCGUACAGAAAUCCCACUUCCAGUCAGAGACUGGAACAUGCCAGUUCAAGACUAGUCUAAUCUCUACUUGGGAGAUUUUACACCUGGGAGCAGUGAAAAGAAUGCUUUAAAAAUAUUAUAUAUUAAACAGCUACAAAACUCAUUGCAAUUCAUAUUGUUAACUUUUGUUAAUCAGUUCAUCUUCUGCAUAAAAAAAGCUAGAAAUAAAGAAUUGACUUCUUCCUUGCCCAGAUUUUUAUAAUAAAAAACGUUUUUAAUCUUCUGGUUUAUGUAACUAUUUCAAAGUUGGUGGAAGAGGAUAUGAUAUCUGCAACAAGUAUAAAUUUCAAGAAUGCUUCUAUUUUGCCAUAAAAUAAUACUCUAUUGAAAAAAUAAUACACUUAAUAAAGAAGCUAAGGCAAAUUGUUGUUCCUUGACGCUGGUGACCUCUGAAACUUCCUGAAACAGAUUAAAUAUUAUCAUCAGUCCAGCCACCUCCAGAUAAAAUGAAAUAAUGAUUUGUGUGCAAGCAGGUUACAAGAGACUGAAUGGAAGAGCCCAAAAAGAGAGCAAAAUAAUUACAUGACUGGCUUGAGAAGAUAGAGGAAAUAAUGAAUUCAUAACAA